UUUUGUGACGCUUCUCUCUGAAGUUUUACCUAAACAAUUUUAUUUCUUCUAACUUUUUACUAUUCACUGCUAAAGUUCCACACUGAUUCCUUCUUCUUCUUCGGCAAUGAACUUUAUGCAGUUAUAACUCAUCUAGCUACGGCAAUGUUCAUCUUUCGUCUAGACGAUUAUGAUCUUAAUUUUAUGUUGAUGAAGUAUACUGGUAAGUUCUAUGAGGUAAAAGCAAACUGCUCUUCAUGAUAGAUUAGAGGAUGAAACAACUUUAUCUUUAACAUCUCAUCAGGAUCAUUUACCAAAAACAAAGACGUAGUAAUGAGGAUCAGCAUCCAAGCACCGUUGAUCCAAUUGAGAACUCUAGAGUCAGUUGGUGAGCCUCCUUGCACCGUUGAUGUUGUGGGGUUUGUCCAAACAUCAAUCUCAGACUUUUAGAGUCUUCAUAGACAUAUAAUAGUUCAGUAGUUUUUACAUUUCCAUUCUUAUGUUGAAGACUUCGGUUGCAAUUUUGGCCAAGUUGAAUGUUUAAAUCAUUAAGACAUUCCCAAUUAGUUUAUUAUUCAGUUUAGAUAAGUUCUUUUAUAA